CUUUAUUGAGUGACUUCCAGAUCUCUUGAAGGAGCCGGCUUGAUUUGGUAGACAAAUUUCAUGGAAAAACGACACUCUUGCGUGUAUGCUAACUAUCUCAGCUGGUCCAGGGAUUUGCCAACAAUGUAAAUAGCCUUAAAGAUACGUCCCAACAACGUCCCUGUCCUCCCAAAAACUACACUCAACAAACACGCCCUCUCCAUUCUAAUCUGGUCUCAGUGACGGAUGCUCUCACUCCCUUUACCGAUGAGCUCAUGACAGACAUGGAUGUUGUCAGCGUACUGCUUCCAAGCUGAAGCUAAACUUUUGGGAUAAAAACUCUUUGGAAGACAACAGCUAAGGAAGUGAAACCUUCCAAACAGUUGGCGGAUUGUGGAAUUGGAAUUUUAUCCAGUUACUGUGACAUUUGUAGGAAACCAACCCGCUGUUGAGAGUAAGGAUGUGGACCAGAGCUUUCAUUUUUCUGAUUGCAACUAUUUACUUCAAUCAGGUUAUUUCCGGAGAGAUCUACGUAGCCGAGCUGACGGUGGAAAGUAACGUCACGUUGGAAGCCAGCACCAUCCUGUCAAGCUGGACUGAUGGCUCAGUGUUUCAAGUCACAUCUGGCUCGACCCAUCAAGUGACGCUAGAAAGCAGAGAAAUUACUGCAGAAUGCGUGGUAAUUGGCGACGAGUACAAUUGCAGCUGCUCUGGUGGAUAUGUGUGGAGCAAUGAAGUGUGCUACGACUAUGAAUGCUGCAACAACACUGCUUGCCUUAAAAAUGUGUCUCUAGUGGCUCCGCUCUGCAUUCCUCCAGUCAAUGUUAGCCUCAAUGGAACAGCUAUUCUGAGUGCUACAGUGAAGGGAACUGAGACGACUACGAUCCAAGAUCUUUUGACAAAGCUCAAUGGUGUGAUAAACAUAAAUGUACUUCCUCCAAGGUCUUCUCCAACAAUAAACAACAACAUUAUUGAUUUUAUUGCAAAUGCCAGUGUCCGGUUUAAUACCACUAAACUUCAAGAGAUUGUGACUAAACUGAAAAGUGACCUGGGAGCUCAAUAUACUUUUGUCGACACUCAUGGGAUGGUCACCAUUGUUGCCCCGAAUAAUACCGUGGAUUACAAGUCAAACCAAAGUCUUAGGUGUGAGUUUGAUGAGAGCACGGACUUCAGUGGCUGGAACCUGAGCAGACCCUAUGAGCGCUUUGAGCUCAACACUGGCAGACAGGUCACCCUGUUGCCGUGUAGCUCUGCAAAUUACCCAUCUUGUAUCAAUGUUACACUCUAUAAUUUGACGGGCAUUUUGGCAGGUAUAUAUGAAUGUGGAUUUACAAAGGGUUUGGUCAGGCACACUGCCAGCACAAAACUGGAUGUGGCUCUCCUGCCGGAUUCCAUCACCAUGACAACAGAUCCUCUCAUUGCGGACUGUUCUAAAGAUGGUACCCCCUCAGUACAAGUGACUGUUAAUGCAACCAUUCCAGUCAAAGGGGAUUUUGAAUUUAGGUGGUUUCAUAAUGAAGAUAGUCCGGUUUCAUGGAGCAAAGCCGGCGAUCCAUUUUGCAAAGAGGAAAAAAUUGAUGACGUGGUUUGGCCAAAGACCCCUUUACGCGUGACAGUUGUCACUACCAAAUGCCCUCCUGGGAGGGUCGGGGAACGACAACGCUCUUGUGGAAACAGUAGCAAUUGGUUGAGUGUGCUGUCCAGCUGUGUCAGCGAGGAGUUAAAGAAAGUUUCAAAUGCAGCCGACAACUUUCUCCAGGGAGUUGGAGCCACCCAGGAAGUGGCUUUGAACAUAUUUGAAGGGAUGAGGAAUAAUUCCAAUUUGGGAAAUUCAACUGAUGGCAUUGCCGACAUCAGAGCCUCCGUGAAUAUAAUAGACACAAUGGCCCAGGCGACAAAAUACAUUAGUUUGACCGAGGACGUCUUCCCUGUAAGUCAUUUUUUGUGUUUUCACUUUAGCUUAACGGCAACAGCAGGUUAAGUUACUGUCUUUGAAAUGCAUCCUCACAUGUCCUCUGCA
ensembl:lncRNA